GGGACUGAGACACGGCCCAGACUCCUACGGGAGGCAGCAGUGGGGAAUAUUGCACAAUGGGCGAAAGCCUGAUGCAGCGACGCCGCGUGAGGGAUGACGGCCUUCGGGUUGUAAACCUCUUUCAGCAGGGAAGAAGCGAAAGUGACGGUACCUGCAGAAGAAGCGCCGGCUAACUACGUGCCAGCAGCCGCGGUAAUACGUAGGGCGCAAGCGUUGUCCGGAAUUAUUGGGCGUAAAGAGCUCGUAGGCGGCUUGUCACGUCGGUUGUGAAAGCCCGGGGCUUAACCCCGGGUCUGCAGUCGAUACGGGCAGGCUAGAGUUCGGUAGGGGAGAUCGGAAUUCCUGGUGUAGCGGUGAAAUGCGCAGAUAUCAGGAGGAACACCGGUGGCGAAGGCGGAUCUCUGGGCCGAUACUGACGCUGAGGAGCGAAAGCGUGGGGAGCGAACAGGAUUAGAUACCCUGGUAGUCCA
rnacentral:rRNA from 1 species